CAGAAAUAAUGUGUUUUCUUUGUGUGCAUAUCCCUACAAGUUAGGAAUAAUUAUCCUCAAAAAAAAAAGUUAGAACUAAUGUGUUUUCACCCCUAAAAAACCAGGACUGAACUUCCAUGGAGCACAAAACAUGAGGGCGUCAGCCAGAAGAGAAGCUGAUAAUUAAAGCACCAAACUCUUCUACUGGUAGUUCAACAACAGCAUACAUUACAACAAGUCCAAACAAACAAUACGGUUCAUACACGCUACGACAUCCCGGAUAAUGGUGCACGACAAGUUCAACCCUUCUCAAAUCUCAAAGGUACUAGAAAUCUAAGACGAACCGGACUAUCUCACAGACAAAGCGGCGCUACAAGCUCCAUCGAUCGGCCAUGGUACCGGGCACUAAACGAGGCGCUAGUGCCUACUGCUUGCCCUUGCCAGUGUUGAUGACUCUGACAGCGUUGUUCACGCCAGCGGUUUUCUCAUUUGGGAUCGCUCCGCCCUCUGGAAGAUCGAACUUGCGGCGGUUGAACGACCUCUGCUUCCCUGGUGGCUGCGGGUCCACGAUCUCCAGCAUGCUCUCCAGUUCCUCCAGCAUAGAUUUCUUCGCCGUCCUCACCAUGAAGUCAGGUCCCUGGGCAGAGAGGGAAUAAGAUUAGUUGCCAAGGAAUAAGGUUACUGAAAGAUAAUGCAAUGAUAGGAAGCACCCCAUAAAGGACUGAAAGAUAACAGAAGAAUAUGCUGGCUAUUUCGAGUUCGGAAAUUAUGAGAGUUAUAAACACAGCAGCAGAUGAAUUGGCACAUAGGUCGUAGGAGCAUCAUUUCAGUUCACAAGCUCCUCCGGGAGCAAAGGCGGGAUGACAGAAAAUUAUUCAGUUAUCACAAGAAAUUCCAAGACUGCAUUCUCCUUCACUACACUCAAUAAAAACAUGGCCUUAGAAAUCAUAAGCUGAAACAAAAGCUUAAAUGCCCAGAGGCACCCGCACUUGAUAUACCAUUACCAGGGGCAUCAUUCGGUAGAAAAUAUAACAACUGGGAAACAUGCAGCGGCGCCGAAUGUAAUAAUAUUAUCUCAUACUUGGACCUAAUGAAGCAUCCAAGAUACUACUGAGAACAGAGAUCAAACAUUACUCGUCAAUAUGAUAUUUAUUUCUAUAGUGAGGAGUGCUGACACCCAUUCUAGCACAUU
rnacentral:lncRNA from 1 species